rnacentral:rRNA from 1 species
UCGAGAAUUUUUCUCAAUGGGGGAAACCCUGAAGGAGCGACGCCGCGUGGAGGAUGAAGGUCUUCGGAUUGUAAACUCCUGUCAUUUGGGAACAAUUGUCACCGGUUAACUGCCGGGGGCUUGAUAGUACCAGAAGAGGAAGAGACGGCUAACUCUGUGCCAGCAGCCGCGGUAAUACAGAGGUCUCAAGCGUUGUUCGGAUUCAUUGGGCGUAAAGGGUGCGUAGGCGGCGAGGUAAGUCGGAUGUGAAAUCCCGGGGCUCAACCCCGGAACUGCAUUCGAUACUGCCUUGCUCGAGGACUCGAGAGGAGAUUGGAAUUCACGGUGUAGCAGUGAAAUGCGUAGAUAUCGUGAGGAAGACCAGUGGCGAAGGCGGAUCUCUGGAGAGUUCCUGACGCUGAGGCACGAAGGCCAGGGGAGCAAACGG